rnacentral:rRNA from 1 species
CCUACGGGAGGCUGCAGUGAGGAAUAUUGGUCAAUGGGCGUAAGCCUGAACCAGCCAAGUCGCGUGAGGGAUGAAGGCUCUAUGGAUCGUAAACCUCUUUUAUAAGGGAAUAAAGUGCGGGACGUGUCCCUUUUUGUAUGUACCUUAUGAAUAAGGAUCGGCUAACUCCGUGCCAGCAGCCGCGGUAAUACGGAGGAUCCGAGCGUUAUCCGGAUUUAUUGGGUUUAAAGGGUGCGUAGGCGGGCUUUUAAGUCAGCUGUGAAAGUCUGUGGCUCAACCGUAGAAUUGCCGUUGAAACUGGGAGGCUUGAGUACAUUUGAGGCAGGCGGAAUGCGUGGUGUAGCGGUGAAAUGCUUAGAUAUCACGCAGAACGCCGAUUGCGAAGGCAGCCUACCAAGC